UCUCUUUUAGCGCUUAUGAACGUAAAGAUACAUGUGAAAAUGUAAAUUACAACGUAAAGAUGUAAACAAACUCGGUGGUUGAUAUAAAUGUGGAGUACAGAAUUUGUUGGUAAUUUGCAUCGAAAUCGACUAUUGUUUAGUGCAAAUGUAAUAAAAUGUGACCAUGCAAAAUAUCCGGCGUCGGAUAGAGCUGUACCGCAGUAGUAGAUGAUAUGCAAGCGGCAGACAACCAUACAGCGGCAGGAAUAAAAGCAACAUAAAACCUCACUGCGACAAUACCGGAGACUAGUUUUUGGAAUGACCAUCUGGCAGAAAGAUGUUUGAACUGUGGGCCUCAGAGCGCACAUGUUCCCAAGCCCUCAUGCACCGAUAUGCACAGCAACGGGAAAGCAGCUAGUUAAUUUUGUUUGUUUACAUGUUUGCUUCAUCUUAUCUGUAGGUGGUUUGGUCCCGGAUGAACACGUCGUGACCCGGCCAAGAUGCCAACCAUUCUCCAGAUCACUCGCCCAGACAUGGCUUCCUUCAUAAUCAUCAGUUCCCGAUCUACGAUAGGUGCUGCUCCACCUGCCUCAGCUCUCUGCCCAGCAUCACGUCCGUCGGAAUGUCCGGUUUGACGUCAGCAAGCGUGUGGUUAUUGCCGGUGAUGUGCGGAUUGACCUAUAAUGUCCUUGGUAGGUUCGUAGGUGCAAGAAAGCAUAAACAAUUCCAACCGAUUGGGACCGUGAAUUCGGGUCUGGUCGGGCUAAAAUAGGUUCAAAACCCGGCCUAAACUCGCUGCACCAAUGAGUCAGUGUGCUUAUGUGCUAUGACCUAGCGGACCUGCGGCACCCACGGAUCUGUAUCGAUUCUGACUGAAAAGAAGAUCUGUAUGAUUUGGCUCUUUUGA